rnacentral:rRNA from 1 species
GACGAACGCUGGCGGCGUGCUUAACACAUGCAAGUCGAACGGAAAGGCCCUGCUUCUGUGGGGUGCUCGAGUGGCGAACGGGUGAGUAACACGUGAGUAACCUGCCCUUGACUUUGGGAUAACUUCAGGAAACUGGGGCUAAUACCGGAUAGGAGCUCCUGCUGCAUGGUGGGGGUUGGAAAGUUUCGGCGGUUGGGGAUGGACUCGCGGCUUAUCAGCUUGUUGGUGGGGUAGUGGCUUACCAAGGCUUUGACGGGUAGCCGGCCUGAGAGGGUGACCGGCCACAUUGGGACUGAGAUACGGCCCAGACUCCUACGGGAGGCAGCAGUGGGGAAUAUUGCACAAUGGGCGGAAGCCUGAUGCAGCAACGCCGCGUGCGGGAUGACGGCCUUCGGGUUGUAAACCGCUUUCGCCUGUGACGAAGCGUGAGUGACGGUAAUGGGUAAAGAAGCACCGGCUAACUACGU